CCCAGAGGACCCCGCGGAGCGCUGGCCCGGCGGCUUUAAGUACCGGAGUACCCCUUAACGCUCGGUGUUGGGUCUUUAGGGUACGUGAGCACUUCGGUGAGCUCCUUUCCGGGUGCUCCAAGGACCGCCCCUUCCUCGAUACCGACUCUGGGCUCCGGCCCCCGGAAGAUGAGCUCGGCGGCGCCAAACACCGUCUCAUCCUUCCCCCAGGCAAACGGAGGCGCCCCUCACCCAUCCAGGAUUCCUCCUUCUUGGCCGCGGUACACCUUCGGAGGGGAGACGCCCGCAUCCCAAAGGAUGCUCACCCCAUCCCGUCGCUUCUCUUCAGCUGAGUCUCCACCAUCCGUUGUCGGGGGGACAGAGAUUACCCCCAAGUAAACGGGAAUGUUUGCUCCAGGCUGCACCUCGGAAUAAGGAAAAGUAGACUCAGUCCUGGAAAGCAUCUCAGUCUGGGGCGCCAGAGGCUAGUAGUUAAUAGCAGGUCAGUACCACUGACCUCAAGGUGCCCAGAACUUUCAUAGUCUUACAAACUCCUGAGGAGCUCUAGGAAAAGUUGGCUGGGAGUCGGGGUGUUCAGGCUGAUGUUCUCACUUAUCUAUCCACAAUUAAGUUGCUAAUUUUCUAUCCAGUUCAAGUUUCCAAGAGAGAAAAUCAAAUUAGCCUAACUGUCCCUGCUUGGGUGCAAGCCACAAUGUCCGUUUGUCCUUUCUCUAAUAGAAUCCCAACUUUUAGCUAGGCCUAAGGCUGUCUGGAGUAAAAACGACAUUUUUUGUCAUCCUUGCGUCUUGCCAGGGGGAUGAGAGCAAAGCGAUUCUUAAAAGGAAAAAGAAACCUCCUCCAUGCUGGCUGGAACACAGGCGAGUCAUCAUGGAUGGUGUGGAUAAGGAUGGCAAACCAAUCAGACAGAAAGAACUGAGCUCCUGACAGUUUGGUGGAACAGAGCUUGGGGCUUUAAUGUGAAGAGAUAUAAACUCUUCUAUUUUAUAUAAACCACUAUUAUACUAGGUUUCUGAUAUACAGAUAGCUAUGCUUAUCUUCUAAUUGGUUGGCUCCUAAUCAACUAGGGCUGGGGGAAGGGGCAUGUGACAGAGACACAGCCCUGACAGCUCAAAGAACAGCUGGAGGGAACCCCCUCCCCAUCAGCAGGAGAUACAGAGUGGGCAGUUUCUUUCCAAAAAUGUGUGUGAAAGGUACCACCAGUUGAUAUGUCUGAACGCCUGGGAAUACCAUCCUUCCUUUUGUUAACCUUCACUGCAAAAUCCCCUUUCUUUUGUUACCCAAUCAGUGGGUAGUUCUCACUCCCCCCUAGUCCUCUCACUUUACCUAUCCACAGUAGGUGACAGAAUGACUACUCCCUCCUGGAAACACUGGUUUUCCUCCUUGACUGGCCACUCCUUCUCAGGCACUUUAAGUAGUUUUUCCUCCUCAGCUUCUAAGCCGGUGGUGGUUAAACUAUAGCAUGAUCAGAAGCCCCUGGAGGCUUGGUGGCAGUGGACAGAUGCUUGAGGAAUGUAUAUUCUCUAUUAAAGAGUCACAGAAUUUGCAUGUAAAAUUUCCAACCACUCAUCAGAAUGAAAGAGUCACACUGAUGGGAGAGAAGCUGCAAAAGAGCAGUCCAGCAGAGAGCCACAGAAUGAAGCCAAGAUGGCUGGUGACAUCACAAGCAAUAACCAGGAGAGCCUUCUGGAACCUGACAAAUGCUGGUUGGGCAUUUUAAUCCUUACCCUAACCUGAUGGGAGGGGCAAUUGUGAAGACUGAAGAACUUGAAGCUAUCUGAGACAUGGAGGUCUACCUAGGCAGUUUAUAUCAAGCCAUGUGAUACAGCGGCCUGCAUCAACUUUGCCCAGAUAGGACAUUCAGGGUUGGUUUCAUCCUGUCCUUGGUCUGCUGGUGUAUGUUUGCUUUGUUCACUCACAACAGCUAGAAAAUAAUAGCAGCAGGGAUGCUUUGAAACCCAUCAGGUUACUUAUUCAAUUGAAGGAGGUCUCACUCUGUCUUACCCUUCUGUCAAACAGACUUCAAGGGAGUUAUGGAAAUUGCCAUUUCCUAGCAGGGUAGCUCCUAGGGGGUUAAUGGCAAGGAAAUAGUGGGAAUGGGCAUUUGCAUUGUGAGAGAAACCAACAAACCUUUAGAAGAAAAACACCUUUCAGCCAAUCUCAAGUCAUCCUUUUGCACCAAGACACACCACGUCCCUCCCUUUCACACAUCCCCAAACAGAAACAGAUAAGCAGUAGACCUGGAAGACCAUUAGGUCAGCUCCACAACCAAGUUCAGUAACAGCCAAGAGCUGCACAUGAAACUGACUCUUGGUAACAAGUAACCAACUUCCUGUGGUGAGUUAUACAUAUUUAAUUUCUAAUUCACUCUCUGAGUACCUUAAAAAUAUAGUUGUAUAUGGAUAGAUGGCUAUUUUAUUUUUUUUAGUAAGAGUGGAGAUAAGUUGACCUGAAGAAAAUCAGCCAUGUAAAAGGAUAUUUGAAGGAUUCUAGGGUUGAGUUACCAGAUUCUUAUCAGGGAUCUGCAAAGGAUUAUGCUGAGCUAUAGGGACAGGAAAGAUGUACCUCUUUUCCUGUCAUCUCUACUUUGCUACAAUUAGCACAACCCUGGAGACACUGAUGCGCCAGAACUGAUCAUGAAAAUGUGGCCUGUUACACCUCUAAGAUCAGGCCAGCCUCACAAUGGUCCUGGUCUAAAAUAGUGUUCCCUCUGGGUAGAAGAGUUAGAUCCUUUUCUGUUGACUCUAUGUGUUGCUUUGGAAAGUUUAACAGAAAUUUCCUUUGGCUGUGAAUACAGUGGUUAAAUGCAUAAGGCUUUAAUCCCUUUCAUUCAAGAUCAGAAGUGGGUAGUCCAGGGCUGGUAUGGAGGCUCCGUAAGAUUAUCAGGGCAUCAAAUGUCUUCUGUUUGUCUCCUCUCCAAUCCUUCAGGCAUGGCUUAUAUGCUUAAAGUCACAGAUGGCUGCUGGAAUUCCAGCCAUUAAAACCACAUUCUAGGUAGAAAGAAGGGAAGGACAAGGGCAAAAGGGAAGUUUUCUAGCUGUCCUCUCAUUUAAGGUGCCUUUUCAGAAGUCCUAUAGAACAAAUUUCAAUUAUAUCACUAUAUCAUUGGCCUGUUAAUUGAUAUAGCAAUAUAUUAUUGGUCUGAUAUUUGAUAUAUAAGUAUUUUAUUGGCUUGAUUAGCCAUACCUCACUGCAGAAGAGACCAAGAAAUAUAGUUGGGCGUUCUGCAAUUCAGGCAGGCUCAGAUUUCCUAUUG
rnacentral:lncRNA from 1 species